AGUACGUCAUUGUCUGUCACAGUUGAAGAGUUGUAGUUCUUCUAUGUGGGACCCCACCUCAGCACGGCAUGAUGAGCGGUUAUUACCUCUGACUACCUCUAAUGGAGUGAACCCCAGAGUCACCAGUAGAAAUGAGGUUAAGUUUAGUCAGGGAGAAGGUGUGGUCUGAGAAAAGAAGACAGCUGAGGUCCACUAACAUCUCUAAAGGCUCAAAAGGAGUAGGCUCUCCAGAUUCUGUCACUGCUGAAGAGACCCCCCAAAGUCACCCUGCUGGGAAACAUACCCUGGGCGGCCACAGGUAGCACUGCGUGACCUGGGGCAGGUUACUUCACUCUCCUGACCUCAGUUCCAUCCUUUCUAAGAUGGGGUAAUGACAGUGCAUUAAAUGAAAUGAUGAAAUGAAAUAAUAUAUCUAAAUUCCUGGCUCAAACUAAGGGCCCAAUAACCAUUAGCUAUGGUGCUGCAUGCUCAGUUCUUUUCUCUCUAAAAUGGAAUUGGGACAGUCGCCUUCAUACCUUUGCUGCAGUGAGUGAGCCACAAAGUCAACUGCACGUGUUGGGAAUCGGUAUUCCACGCAAGGCCACUGCCUUCUCAAAGCUCCUUGAAAAAUGCUUUACCAGACUAGCUUGGUUCUUGCUGGCCUAACUAAGAUCACAGUUGAGUAAAAGGUGUAGAAGUUGAUGAUGGAAGGCCUGGCUCAGAUCACUGAUUUUGAGUCUCAGGAGAAGUUCCUCACCAGACAACGCUCUCCUCCUCUUAAAGCUGGAAGGACAGAUCCCCCAUGGUUGGGGUCAUGGAAGUGGGUAUUUUCCCCAAAUUUCUCCUCCCUGGACCAGUUGGAGCCUUCUAGGUGUGAGACUGCCAGGUGCCUACAUGGACAUGAUUUCUGCUCAGAGACAUAGCCAGCCUGUGAGGAAGCUAUUGGUCCCCUUGGUCUCACAGAGCAAGAGAGUGAGGCUCAGAGUUAAGGAGCUGCUCCAACCUCACCCAGCCGCCCUGGGCCUGCGCUGGGAUUCAGGCCCAGAUCUGGUGCUGCCCAGGCGUGGCCCCAUGUCACUAGAGCAGGACCUUCUUGCUUCUUUGUUAACACAGAGCCCAUUCAUGAUGGCUGGUCACCAGCCUCCAAGACCAAAAAGAGGAACCCUGCCACUGCCUCCAUACUCCCCACCACUGCUGAAGCAAUCCCUUCACCCAAAGACACAAGCAGAAACUUUUCAGGGUCUGCUUCUCUUGUUCCCAGGAAUUAACCAAGUGUGUCCACCUUGAGGACAGAAGAGGCAGCAGGAAGAUCAGGGUGGUAGUUGAAGAAGGCCUAGGUGAGACGCCAGACUCAACUGUUCCUAUAGAGCGAUGGCCUCCAACCUUUGGAAACUGCAGCGGCAAUUUUGGAGGCAAUGUUCAAAUACAGUCAUGUGCCAUGUAACAACGUUUCUGUCAACAACAGACUGCAUAUACCAUGGUGGUCUCAUAAGAUUAGUACCAUACAGCCUAGGUGUGUGGUAGGCUAUACCAUCUAGGUUUGUGUAAGUACACUCUAUGAUGUUCGCACAGCGACAAAAUUGCCUAACAAUGCAUUUCUCAGAAUGUAUCCUCAUUGUUAAGUGCCGCAUGACCGUAUAGCGUAAAGACCACCAGUUUAACAUCUAAUCCUGAGAUAGAAAUUUAUGUGCAUUCCUAGUCCAGCGUUUCUAAAAGUUAUUAAGUGGCUUUAAGUGUCCUACCCAAACAUUUUUCCAAGGAUGACUGUCUAAAUGUCCCCAGAGAGACUUUUCUGAGUUCUUGAUUCCUCUGAAUUUGUUGCAAUAAAGAUAAGGUGGAAAUAUUGAAGAGGUCAAAAAAGAACGUUGGAAGAACAGAUCAUCUUGUGUUUUCUAGAAAUGUCCUAUUUUUAUUUGCUGUCACAUCAGAUAUCAUGCCAGAUGGCUUUUACUUUGAUUUGAGUCAGACCACCUGGGUCAGGAUCUUGGCUGUGGCACUGGUGGGACGUGGGAAAACCUAUUUCAUCUCUGCAUCUUAGUGUCAAGCAUUCCCAAAGCAGCAGUGC